rnacentral:tRNA from 1 species
GCAUUGGUGCUUCAAUGAUAUAAUUCUCACCUUCCACGCAGGAGACCUGGGUUCGUUUCCCAGCCAAUGCA